ensembl:lncRNA
CACCACAGAGAGACAGACAGGUGUAAUCAGUAACCCACCACAGAGAGACAGACAGGUGUAAUCAGUCACCCACCACAGACAGACAGACAGGUGUAAUCAGUAACCCAACACAGACAGACAGACAGGUGUAAUCAGUAACCCACCACAGAGAGACAGACAGGUGUAAUCAGUAACCCACCACAGACAGACAGACGGACAGGUGUAAUCAGUAACCCACCACAGAGAGACAGACAAGUGUAAUCAGUAACCCACCACAGACAGACAGGUGUAAUCAGUAACCCACCACAGAGAGACAGACAGGUGUAAUCAGUAAC